rnacentral:rRNA from 1 species
ACGGAGGGUGCAAGCGUUAUCCGGAUUCACUGGGUUUAAAGGGUGUGUAGGCGGAUAUCUAAGUCAGUGGUGAAAUCUCCGGGCUCAACCCGGAAACUGCCAUUGAUACUAUUUAUCUUGAAUAUCGUUGAGGUUGGCGGAAUAUAUCAUGUAGCGGUGAAAUGCAUAGAUAUGAUAUAGAACACCGAUUGCGAAGGCAGCUAACUAAACGAUUAUUGACGCUGAGGCACGAAAGCGUGGGGAUCAAACAGGAUUAGAUACCCUGGUAGUCCACGCCCUAAACUAUGAUUACUCGACAUACGCGAUACACAGUGUGUGUCUGAGCGAAAGCAUUAAGUAAUCCACCUGGGAAGUACGUCCGCAAGGAUG